GGAUUAGAUACCCUGGUAGUCCACGCCGUAAACGAUGUCUACUAGUUGUUGGGAGACUUGAUCUCUUAGUAACGAAGCUAACGCGAUAAGUAGACCGCCUGGGGAGUACGGCCGCAAGGUUAAAACUCAAAUGAAUUGACGGGGGCCCGCACAAGCGGUGGAGCAUGUGGUUUAAUUCGACGCAACGCGAAGAACCUUACCUACACUUGACAUCCAGAGAACUUUCCAGAGAUGGAUUGGUGCCUUCGGGAGCUCUGAGACAGGUGCUGCAUGGCUGUCGUCAGCUCGUGCUG
rnacentral:rRNA from 1 species